AGUGAACGCUGGCGGUAGGCCUAACACAUGCAAGUCGAACGGCAGCACAGUAAGAGCUUGCUCUUACGGGUGGCGAGUGGCGGACGGGUGAGGAAUACAUCGGAAUCUACUUUUUCGUGGGGGCUAACGUAGGGAAACUUACGCUAAUACCGCAUACGACCUACGGGUGAAAGCAGGGGAUCUUCGGACCUUGCGCGAUUGAAUGAGCCGAUGUCGGAUUAGCUAGUUGGCGGGGUAAAGGCCCACCAAGGCGACGAUCCGUAGCUGGUCUGAGAGGAUGAUCAGACACACUGGAACUGAGAAAGGGUACAGACUCAGAAGGGAGGCAGAAGUGGGGAAUAUUGGACAAUGGGCGCAAGACUGAUCCAGCCAUACCGCGUGGGUGAAGAAGGCCUUCGGGUUGUAAAGCACUUUUGUUGGGAAAGAAAAGCAGCAGGUUAAUAACCCGCUGUUCUGACGUUACCCAAAGAAUAAGCACAGGAUAACUUAGUG
rnacentral:rRNA from 1 species